rnacentral:rRNA from 1 species
AAAGGAAUUGACGGGACCCCGCACAAGCGGUGGAUCAUGUUGUUUAAUUCGAUGAUACGCGAAGAACCUUACCAGGUCUUGACAUCCCCCGCGAUGCUUUAGAGAUAAAGCGGAGGUAUUCGGGGAGACAGGUGGUGCAUGGUUGUCGUCAGCUCGUGUCGUGAGAUGUUGGGUUAAGUCCCGCAACGAGCGCAACCCCUAUUGCUAGUUACCAUCAUUAAGUUGGGGACUCUAGCGAGACUGCCAGUGAUAAACUGGAGGAAGGUGGGGAUGACGUCAAAUCAUCAUGCCCCUUAUGACCUGGGCUACAAACGUGAUACAAUGGCUGGAACAAAGGGAUGCGAAGCAGUGAUGUGGAGCGAAACCCAUAAAAACAGUCUCAGUUCGGAUUGAAGUCUGCAACUCGACUUCAUGAAGUCGGAAUCGCUAGUAAUCGCGGAUCGGAACGCCGCGGUGAAUACGUUCUCGGGGUUU